UACGGGGGGGGGCAAGCGUUGUUCGGAAUUACUGGGCGUAAAGUGUGCGCAGGCGGCUUCGCAAGUCGAGUGUGAAAAUCCCCGAGCUUAACUUGGGAAUUGCGCUCGAAACUACGGAGCUGGAGUGUGGCAGAGGAAGGUGGAAUUCCACGUGUAGCGGUGAAAUGCGUAGAGAUGUGGAGGAACACCGAUGGCGAAGGCAGCCUUCUGGGCCAACACUGACGCUCAUGCACGAAAGCGUGGGGAGCAAACAGG
rnacentral:rRNA from 1 species